rnacentral:ncRNA from 1 species
AGGUGUUCGCGCCGACGCGCGAGAGAAUAGGGAACGGAGUGCGAAUCUCCGACAGGACCGCUGCUGUGAAGCUGAGCUUCCGUCUGUGGACCAUUGGCCGAAGGGCCGAGAAGGUGGACGGAAGCGAUGAAGCCAAGUCAGAAGACCUGCCUGUGAAG